CCUGGGUGUGGUGGUGCACGCCUGUAGUCCCAGCUUCUUGGAAGGCUGAAGCAGGAGGAUUGCAAGUUUGAGGCCAAUCUGGGAAAUUUGGCAAGACCUUGUUUUGG
rnacentral:sRNA from 1 species